GGUCCUAUGGGGUAGUGGUUAUCCCACCGGAUUUUGAUGAACAAUAUACAUGUCCUGUAUAUGUGUAGGAAGAUCGAAGCUUCCGGUAACGCCGGUUCGAAUCCGGCUAGGACCU
rfam:Aspergillus flavus AF70 3, whole genome shotgun sequence.